rnacentral:antisense_RNA from 1 species
CUUGAUCGAACCCAGCCACAGCGGUUCUUCGCGGCCCUGUCCGUACGUGGCGAGCAGUGCCUGCGCCUC